CGCGGCCUAUCAGCUUGUUGGUGAGGUAACGGCUCACCAAGGCCACGACGGGUAGCUGGUCUGAGAGGACGAUCAGCCACGCUGGGACUGAGACACGGCCCAGACUUCUACGGGAGGCAGCAGUAGGGAAUCUUGCGCAAUGGGCGAAAGCCUGACGCAGCAACGCCGCGUGGGGGAUGACGGCUUUCGGGUUGUAAACCCCUUUCAGCAGGGACGAAACUGACGGUACCUGCAGAAGAAGCCCCGGCCAACUACGUGCCAGCAGCCGCGGUAACACGUAGGGGGCAAGCGUUGUCCGGAAUUAUUGGGCGUAAAGAGCUCGUAGGUGGUUCGGUAAGUCAGGUGUGAAAGGCUGGGGCUCAACCCUAGGACCGCACCUGAUACUGCUGUGACUCGAGUCCGGUAGAGGAGUGUGGAAUUCCUGGUGUAGCGGUGAAAUGCGCAGAUAUCAGGAGGAACACCAGCGGCGAAGGCGGCACUCUGGGCCGGUACUGACACUGAGGAGCGAAAGCGUGGGGAGCAAACAGGAUUAGAUACCCUGGUAGUCCACGCCGUAAACGUUGGGCACUAGGUGUGGGGUCUUAUCAACGGAUUCCGCGCCGUAGCUAACGCAUUAAGUGCCCCGCCUGGGGAGUACGG
rnacentral:rRNA from 1 species